CAACAGCGCUGGAGCGGCCCGCGCCUUGGGAGCCUGGAGGCCGGGCCCCGCCAGGUGAGCCGCCCGGCGGCCCCGAGGCAGGCAGAGGAGCUUCCCUGGCCCCGCUCAGCUGGCCCCGAGCCGCCGGCGGCGGAGGCCCCCGAACACCCACCGCUCCCCGCUCCUGCGGGGCGAGAGGGAACUCUGCGGCGCCACGGCAGGAAAAGGGAAGCUUGAAUACGCGUGGUGAUUAGUACAUACCCGCGCGACUCCACACCUCAACAGCUGUCAGCACCGUCCCGGCCCACCUCACCCUACGGACUCCAGGUCUCUCUACCCAGGUCACAUUCCUCCAUCCAUCCAUCUCUCUCUUAGUCAACCCCCGUUAUCCCCUCCAGUUCUCCUUUCCCCCACUACUCUCUCACACUCACCUGUCACAUAUACUAGUUCAGAUCCUGCACAUUUUGGUGGAAAACCUGUCAGUCUGAUGCUGGGACUCUAAGCCUCUUCACACACUCCCACACCCAGCUAUCUCAAGACUGAUCUCUUGGCUCCAUGUCUGCAAGUCUGACUCCCAGAAGCCUGCUGAUGAUUCUCUGAUGUCCUUGGCCUGCGGUUAGGGUGACUGGGCUGCCACGUGGACGUCACCAUGGCGAGGUUGCUGUUCAGAGUUCUUUUGAGAAGCUCAGGUACAGAACAUAUACCUGAUGCACUUGAACACACACAGGCCACUCACACAGGCUUCAUCUCUGUCUUGUAGCUGUGCUUGCUGCCCGAACUGACAGGCUGCAGAGAAGUUUGCACGGUUCUCUCCCAUGCACACACCCACACGGCGCCAGGCCCCAGGCCAGCCGGUAUUAUUCUGCCUGGUUAGGAUUAGCAGAGUCACUUACCCAAAUAUGUGCUUGGGAGAGAGAGUGAGAAAGAGUAGGGAAGUGGUGAGAGAGAGAGAGAGAGAGAGAGAGAGAGAGAGAGAGAGAGAGGAGAGAUUAAGGGAGAGAGGGAGAGAGGACGCUAUUACCCAUUCUGGGGAAGAACUCACAGACCAGAGCUGAGAGCUGUUUCCAGUUGGUUCGCCCAGGGAUGCUUUCAUCUGGGGUUGAUGGGGAUGAUAGCCUGGAAAUGUCACACCUUGCCUGGGAAAGUGGUGUUGAACCCCUUUUCUGUGCAUUGGCUGUUCCAGGUGUGGGGAUGCAGUGAGGAGCAAUGUGUGAUUUCUGCUCACAGGGAGCCCCAGGUGACAAGUACACAGCCUGUACACAUCUCCCCAGCCCAAGAUGCAGGUGCCAUAGGAGGCAAGAGGAAGAGAGGAGAGAUUUCUGGCUGGGUAAUCUGGGAAGGCCUGGCAGGUAAAGGUCUCGUCCCCCAGGAGAGGCUGAGCUGCCCUUCUCACCCCCACCCCCCGCCCCCCGCCAUGCCAUUGCAUGGGCCAGAAGACAGCAUGUUACUGCCUUAAUCAAGGAGUGCUUUCACCUUUGUACCUGUCAGGUGCCAAGGUAUGUGCCAAGUGUUAUGGUGGACAUAAGAAAAGACCUACUUUCUACCCACGAAGAGUUCUCUUCAGUCUGAUUGGGAAGAAAAACAACACACACUCGAUCCACAACAGAUCAGCAAGCGUUGGUUGUAAUUCAACAAAGUUUUCUGAAGUGUUUACGGUAUGCCAGAAGGAGGGCCUCCUGCCUUCAGCAGGCUGUAUGGCCUUCUCGGCAUGUCCGUGUUUUGGGUGCUCUGUGUUCCUGUCCACCCCUCCUCUCACCCCAAACUCGGGGUGCAUCCUUGGUCAUGUGGGCCUUGGUAAAGUUGACUUACCUAUCAGUGUCUUCUCAGUUACUUGCUGGUCAUCCUUUAAGUCUACUCAAGGAUCAUCUCCUCUUGGAGGUAUUCCCUGGCCCAA